rnacentral:rRNA from 1 species
UACAGAGGGGGCAAGCGUUAUUCGGAAUUAUUGGGCGUAAAGGGCGCGUAGGCGGCUUUUCAAGUGACGGGUGAAAUCCCUCGGCUUAACCGAGGAACUGCCUGUCAGACUGGAAGGCUUGAGACCGGGAGAGGUGAGUGGAAUUCCCAGUGUAGCGGUGAAAUGCGUAGAUAUUGGGAGGAACACCAGUGGCGAAGGCGGCUCACUGGACCGGAACUGACGCUGAGGCGCGAAAGCGUGGGGAGCAAACAGGG